UACCUGGUUGAUCCUGCCAGUAGUCAUAUGCUUGUCUCAAAGAUUAAGCCAUGCAAGUCUAAGUACGAGCUCUCGUACAGUGAAACUGCGAAUGGCUCAUUAAAUCAGUUAUGGUUCAUUUGAUCGUACAGUUUACUUGGAUAACUGUGGUAAUUCUAGAGCUAAUACAUGCGAGAAGCGCCGACCUCGCGGGAGGCGUGCAUUUAUCAGACCAAAAACCGGCCGCGUCUUCGGGCGCGUUCGCCUUGGUGACUCUGGAUAACUUUGCGGAUCGCACGGUCUAGCACCGGCGACGGAUCAUUCAAGUGUCUGCCCUAUCAACUUUCGUCAGUACGGUAUUUGCCUACCGAGGUUCUUACGGGUGACGGGGAAUCAGGGUUCGAUUCCGGAGAGGGAGCCUGAGAAACGGCUACCACAUCCAAGGAAGGCAGCAGGCGCGCAAAUUACCCAUUCCCGACGCGGGGAGGUAGUGACGAAAAAUAACAAUGCAGGACUCGUUCGAGGCCCUGUAAUUGGAAUGAGUACACUUUAAAAGCUUUAACGAGUAUCCAUUGAGAGGGCAAGUCUGGUGC
rnacentral:ncRNA from 1 species